rnacentral:rRNA from 1 species
AUUGAACGCUGGCGGCAGGCCUAACACAUGCAAGUCGAACGGUAGCACAGAGAGCUUGCUCUCGGGUGACGAGUGGCGGACGGGUGAGUAAUGUCUGAGAAACUGCCCGAUGGAGGGGGAUAACUACUGGAAACGGUAGCUAAUACCGCAUAACGUCGCAAGACCAAAGUGGGGGACCUUCGGGCCUCACACCAUCGGAUGUGCCCAGAUGGGAUUAGCUAGUAGGUGGGGUAAUGGCUCACCUAGGCGACGAUCCCUAGCUGGUCUGAGAGGAUGACCAGCCACACUGGAACUGAGACACGGUCCAGACUCCUACGGGAGGCAGCAGUGGGGAAUAUUGCACAAUGGGCGCAAGCCUGAUGCAGCCAUGCCGCGUGUAUGAAGAAGGCCUUCGGGUUGUAAAGUACUUUCAGCGGGGAGGAAGGCGGUGAAGUUAAUAGCUUCACCGAUUGACGUUACACGCAGAAGAAGCACCGGCUAACUCCGUGCCAGCAGCCGCCGCCG